UGAACCAAUACAUCCUCCUUAUAUUGAAUGAAACGUCCUUCGCUCUCCUCCAAAAAUGAAUCAUCUCAUGAACGAAUGACGAUUAACAUCGAAUACAAUGCAUCCAUAAUUUUGAAUAAUAAUAAUUUGAAAAACAACCCAUGUUUCAUUCGAGUGUCAAAUAAUUGUCAUUCGAUUUUUGUAUUACAGUUCUAUCAACUGUAAAUCAUAUUUGAGUUGGAUGACUAACCUUUCGGUUGUGCCCCGAAACGCAAACCAUUCGAUAUUAGAAUAUUUUGCUGACGCCGUGCCACCACACUCACGCUACUAACUUCUAUGAUCGCCAUUUUCAAUUUGUGAUCGGUAAAAGCUGGCAAAGACAAAACAUUCUGCGGUAAUCUUUAAUUCACGGUAAGUGUUUCAAGUCAAAUAUUGACCGUCCAACAAGGGGUUGGAAACUCUGGCACCUUGAAUUGUGUCGAAAGGUGUUUCUUGGGUGUUUUUGGGUGUUUCUGUGUGCUUGACAGUAACUUUGACGUAUCUCCGCCAGACGUCAAAUUUGUUCAUCUUUUCCAAUAUUUCAGGCAACACUUCUGGAUUGUUUUGUUGUUUCUUGAGUUUCUAUCAGUGAGAUUAAUACAAAUAUUUUAGAGCUUCUUAAAACGGAAAUUAUUGCGGGACAAGCGACCAUACACGUUCGACUCCCUGUUAUGCUCCUACUACGUGAAUUCCUCCACUACCUAUUUCAGACAAAUGAGAUGGAACUGAUCUUUUCCGGGUUGUGAGCGAAAAUGUUAGGCGAAGGAUUGCACAGUGGCAUGACAAUUACAUAAGAACAGAAGGCUCAGAUCGGUACCAGCGUCGAUAUGGUCGGAAGGAGUUCAAUAAUCGUUGAUCACAGCGACGUAUUUCGGAGGCGAUCGUAACGUAAUAUAAAAUCUACGGUGACUGGAAGUGGCGGAAGUGGUAACGGUGAAGCAACACACUAAGAAACUAAACAAAAUCCUGAAACGCAAUGAGGCAGGUACGGCGUCCGACUUCCACCGGUACAAACCACGAAGUAUAGUCAAUACUUCCGGAGAACCGUCGCGAGAUUUGCCUAGUAAGGAUAGCUCUAGAUAGAAAGUGCUACUACGACACGUCCGAUUGGAUCCAGCAAGUACAAUUUACGACAGACAAACAUCAGAAGCUUGACCGCUUGACGGUGAUGGAGAGUCAAAGAGCGGUUGAUCAGCUGUGAAAAUACCACUGUCCGUAUACAUAGCAAAUACCACGUAAGAGUUUUUCGGGUUUUUCGUUUAGAAAACAAUUUGAUGUUUUGUUUAUAUGUAACAAUAUCCUUUUUAUUAUACAACUGAUAAUGAAAUACA